GGAUGUUCAUCUCUUGGCUAGUGCGAGUGUUGAUGGCCGGGUUUAUAUAUGGAAAAUUACUGAAGGACCAGAUGAAGAAGAGAAACCACAAAUUACAGGAAGGAUUGUCAUUGCUAUUCAUAUUGUUGGUGAAGGGGAAUCUGUUCACCCACGUGUUUGUUGGCAUUGUCAUAAACAAGAAAUUCUUGUGGUUGGAAUCGGGAAACGCAUUUUGAAAAUUGAUACCAUUAAAGUGGGAAAAGGUGCAGUAUUUUCAGCUGAUGAACCUCUCAGGUGUCCUGUUGACAAGUUGGUUGAUGGGGUACAACUUAUUGGUACCCAUGAUGGAGAAGUGACUGAUUUAUCUAUGUGCCAGUGGAUGACCACUCGUUUGGUAUCUGCAUCAGUGGAUGGCACGAUAAAGAUAUGGGAUGACCGUAAUCCACUUCCAAUCGCAGUUCUCAGGCCUCAUGAUGGUCAUCCUGUUAGUUCUGCUACCUUCUUGGCUUCCCCACACCACCCAGAUCACGUCGUACUCAUCACUGGGGGUCCUCUUAAUCGGGAAAUAAGGAUAUGGGCAU
rnacentral:misc_RNA from 1 species